rnacentral:rRNA from 1 species
UACGAAGGGGGCUAGCGUUGCUCGGAAUCAUUGGGCGUAAAGGGUGCGUAGGCGGCGCGGUAAGUCGGGUGUGAAAGUCUCGGAGCUUAACUCCGAAACUGCAAUUCGAUACUGCCGUGCUUGAGGACUGGAGAGGAGACUGGAAUUCCUGGUGAUAGCGGUGAAAUGACGCAGAUAUCAGGAGGAACACCGAUGGCGAAGGCAGGUCUCUGGGCCGAUACUGACGCUGGAGGAGCGAAAGCGUGGGGAGCGAACAGG